rnacentral:rRNA from 1 species
GACGAACGCUGGCGGCGUGCUUAACACAUGCAAGUCGAACGCUGAAGCUCAGCUUUUGUUGGGUGGAUGAGUGGCGAACGGGUGAGUAACACGUGAGUAACCUGCCUCCUUCUUUGGGAUAACGCCCGGAAACGGGUGCUAAUACUGGAUAUUCACUGGUCUUCGCAUGGGGGUUGGUGGAAAGGGUUUUUCUGGUGGGGGAUGGGCUCGCGGCCUAUCAGCUUGUUGGUGGGGUGAUGGCCUACCAAGGCUUUGACGGGUAGCCGGCCUGAGAGGGUGACCGGUCACAUUGGGACUGAGAUACGGCCCAGACUCCUACGGGAGGCAGCAGUGGGGAAUAUUGCACAAUGGGCGCAAGCCUGAUGCAGCGACGCCGCGUGAGGGAUGGAGGCCUUCGGGUUGUGAACCUCUUUCGCUCAUGGUCAAGCCGCAACAAUGAUUGUGGUGAGGGUAGUGGGUAAAGAAGCGCCGGCUAACUACGUG